rnacentral:Y_RNA from 1 species
GGCUGGUCCAAGUGCAGUUGUUGGUUAGUUAGUUCUAUCUCCAUUCCCACAAGCUUCACGUGGCUAGCCUAAA